UACGGGGGGGGGCAAGCGUUGUUCGGAAUUACUGGGCGUAAAGGGCUCGUAGGCGGCCCUCUCAGUCGGAUGUGAAAUCCCCAGGCUUAACCUGGGAACGGCAUCCGAUACUGGAGGGCUUGAAUUCGGGAGAGGGAUGCAGAAUUCCAGGUGUAGCGGUGAAAUGCGUAGAUAUCUGGAGGAAUACCGGUGGCGAAGGCGGCAUCCUGGACCGAGAUUGACGCUGAGGAGCGAAAAGCUAGGGGAGCAAACGGG
rnacentral:rRNA from 1 species